CGGGAUGAGAAGAUCAGGGUCAAGGGGGAAAUGAAUGGUGUAUUUUAGUGUCAGCAGCACCCAGCUAAUGCCAACAUGACCACUCCUAAUAAAUCUUUUUUUUUAAUUCUGAGAGAUGUGGCUAGAGACUUAUGAUUUGAAUGGGGGCGGAUUUGUUGGAGCCCUGACAGCCAGCCGACACUAAAAUACACUUUAUAUACCCUGAUACUUAAUGGCUGCAUCAUUGAGUUUUAAACCUUGGGAUGAUAUCUCAUCGUUUUGCCCUAAACAAGGAACUGAGUACAUUUUCUGAUGCAGUAAUAUUUUAGCACCGGUCUUCGCUUAUAUUAUGUAAGGUUUCAUUGUACUGAUGCUGUGGACUCUCAAAGCGAUUAUUUUUUUUUGUAGCUUCCUUGUUUCUGUUUGAGAAAGGAUUUAAUGGGAUAUAUAGGAAAAAUACCAUUUUCACUCCAUUUAAAAAGAGUAGCCAUAUUUUUUUUUAAAAAAAUGACAUUUAAGUCAAAAUCAUACUGAUUGACAUGGAUGGCUCCGAAGAAACAUACAGAUAGUCCCUGACUUACAAUCACAACUAGGACUGAAAAAAUUCCUCGUUCAGCGGGACGGUUUGUUUUAAGUGAGGCAUUACUUGAUAACAUUUGAUUUUAUGACCGUUUUUACUGUGGUGAUUAAGUGAAUCUAGCUUUCCCCCUGUUGGGUCUGCUUGUUGGAAGUUGGGAAGGACUUGUGAUCACCAGAUCACGGGUGUGGUAUUACUCUCCUAAGGACAAGUCACUUUUUUUCAGUCCUGCUGUAAUUCUGAACUAUCGUCCAACAAAUGGCAAGGUCUACCUGUAUUAACAAUCUAAGGAAGAAAGCUUGUUAUGAUCGCAGUUUAUGGAAAACACGUCUAAAUUGUGUACACUAUUAGCAAAAAACCUGUGGCUAAUUUGCCAGAUAAUCUCAUUCUAAACUCUUAUCCAGCUACAUUUUUCAAAAAUAAGUGACCAAAUAGGAACAAAAGAGACCUGCUAAUAUUAUAUCAGAUCAUUGGCCUUUUCAGUUCAUUGCUGUUUGUUAUCUCUCUUUCUCUCUCUCUCUCUCCUUCUCCCUCUCUUUCUCCCCCCUCCCUCCUCUCUCUCCCUCCCACUCUCUCUCCUCUCCCUCCUUCCCUCUCCUCUUCCUCUUUCCCACUCCCUCCCUCCCUCUCUUCCUCUCUCUCUCUUGUCUUACACACAGAGAAACAUACACAAACACACACAGUCACACUCUACACUCUUGUUGCAAGUGGAAAAUGCAGUGAGGCUACGUUAGUAACGAUGCCAGUUUUGUAAGGAUUUAGUUGCUAAAUUAACGUGUUGUGCUUUAAUUAAAUCCACCAGAGCAGAUCCCUAUUGUGUUUCACAGGAUCUACCCCGGAGCACCAUUUUUGCCCCACUGCAGUUCUUUGGAACUGGCUGGGUCCCAAAGAAGAAGGAAAUCACCUUGAAUCUGGACUGCAAAGUUUUGGGAGCCAGUGACCCUAACCUCUUUUUAAAAAUAAAAUAAAAAAUAAAGGUGCUAGAGGUUGGACUAUGGUUGAACACUUUAAAUUAAAGUAUCAGCCUAGGGUGCUGGCAGGUAAAUAUGAAGAGAGAAACUGCAUUAAAAGGAGACGAUUUUCUACUAGCAAUGCAGACGAUAUCGAGAUACGUUCCUAGCAUAAGCUUUGGAUGACUUAGAAUGGAUUCAGUUACAUGAUUUACAAUUUGUGCCAUGUGGAGAAAAGCCAGCACUCCUACAGCUUUGGAUCUAAAUUAAGAAGUGUCCAUCAACCCACAAUGCUUAUUUUAAUAGCGACCAACCCAAUGCCUGAACCCACAAGCUCAGGAUCAAAAUAAUCUCCUUGCUGCAGAUAAUACUAUGACACAGACACCUCCCUAGAUGGGGGCAGAUUAUGAAAUCCACCAGAAGAAUAAAAUCACAAUAUACAGGUAGUCCUCAACUUACAAUCACAAAUGAGCCCAACAUUUCUGUUGCUGACGGAAACAUUUGCUAAUUGAGUUUUGCCUCAUUUAACGCUCUGUCUUGCCACUGUUGUUAAGUGAAUCACUGCAGUUGUUAAAUGAAUCUGGCUUCCCCCUUGGCAGUAGGUCACAAAAGGGAACCACAUGACCUCAGGACACUCAACCGUCAUAAAUAUGAACCAGUUGCCAAGCAUCCGACUGUUGAUCUUGUGACCAAGAGGAUGCUGCAACUGUCAUAAGUGUGAAAAACGGUCAUAAGUCUCCUGCUUCAGUGCCGCUGUACGGUCACUAAAUGAACUGUUGUAAGUCGAGGACUGCCUGCAUUAAUAAAAGAGUCUUGUGGUCUUAACUUUAGACAUAAUUCAAGUUGGGUUUAUAGGAAAAGAACCUUAAGAAGGAAGUGUAGAGACACCCAAUGUUGUCCAUCUACUGUAGGAAUCUAGAGCAGUGCUUCUCAACCGUGGCAACUUUAAGAUGGGUGGACUUCAACUCCCAGAAUUCUCCAGCCAGCCAUGCAGAGCCCCUAUUGGUCUUUAUACAUGGUGUGGGGAAUUCUGGGAGUUGAAAUCCAUCCAUGUUAAAGUUGCCAAGGUUGAGAAAUGGAUUCAGAGGCUAGACACAUAGCUCACCAACCACAGUCUUGCCAUCAUGAUACGAUAGACACGAUUUCUCCAAGUCACAGUAAUUAUUUUUGAAUAUUUGUGUACAAGCUUAAUGUGUACAAGCUUUAGGUCAUUUUUUGUGCUAUCUUAGAAAGACGUAUUGGGUAUCUGUUGGUGGCAUUGCCAGGAUUUUAACCCCGUUUUUUUUUCAACGCUGAUUUGACAGUUUUUUUUUCCCGUCAGAUUUUUUUUAAUGAAUGCUUACAUUGAGACACAAAUGAAUGGAAUUGCACUUAUAAUUUAAUCUGAUUUCACUUCUUUUUGUACAUCAACAGCUGAAUUAGAUUUGGGUUGACGUUUGAGUUUUUGUCCACAAAGAGCAAAACAGAAGAAAGUUUAUUAAUUAUCUUUAUAAUAAAUAUGCACUUAGGACAAAUCUAUUCCAUUGAAAAGUGUACUUUGAUCACUAAAGAAAAUAUUACUAUUACUCCAACAGUAGUAAGUCUUAUUCAGAAGAAAGUAUGCAAUAUGAUGUUUUGGAGGGGAAUAUUUUAUUUAAUACAAAUAUAGGCUUGCUUAUUUUUUUCCCAAAGGGUGGAAGAGUCUUCCACUUUUAUAAUAACUGCAAACAUAAUUUGGAAGCAAAUUUAUUUUUAACACAAGUUUUCACAUAAGAAUGCAUUUACUUCUCAAUAAAAUGCAGGAUCUGAAACUAAGAAAUGUGCCAGGAUUUAAGUUAAUUGAAAACAACAAGAAUAGAGGCGCUUGUAACUAAAUUGUUUCAUCUGUUUUAACUCUAGUAAGUUUGUUGUUGUAGUUACACCAGUGAAAUUAAGAGGAAAACACAUUUGAGCUACAGUGAGAGCUCUGUACAAUUGUAGGCUGACAAAGGCUGUAGUAAGUGAUCACAAAGGCUGUAGUAGAUGUUUUAACUAGUGUGUAAUGUCAGAUGGGAUUUGAUGGUCCAUUUUGCCCUGAAAAUAAUCACAAUUGUAAUGUUGGUGAUGGUUUAGCAGUGUUACAACUUCACACUAUUUUUUUCUGUUGAGCAUUAAACAUUGAAAA